rnacentral:rRNA from 1 species
GUCCACGCCCUAAACGAUGGAUACUCGUCGUCGGAGGGUUAACCUUCGGUGACUCAGCUAACGCAUUAAGUAUCCCGCCUGGGGAGUACGGUCGCAAGAUUAAAACUCAAAGGAAUAGACGGGGACCCGCACAAGCGGUGGAGCAUGUGGUUUAAUUCGAAGAUACGCGAAAAACCUUACCUGGACUUGACAUGUAGAGAAUUCUGUAGAGAUAUAGAAGUGCUAGCUUGCUAGAACUUUAACACAGGUGCUGCACGGCUGUCGU